UACGAAGGGGGCUAGCGUUGCUCGGAAUCACUGGGCAUAAAGCGCACGUAGGCGGCUUUCUAAGUCAGGGGUGAAAUCCUGGAGCUCAACUCCAGAACUGCCUUUGAUACUGGAGAGCUAGAGUCCGGAAGAGGUGAGUGGAACUGCGAGUGUAGAGGUGAAAUUCGUAGAUAUUCGCAAGAACACCAGUGGCGAAGGCGGCUCACUGGUCCGGUACUGACGCUGAGGUGCGAAAGCGUGGGGAGCAAACAGG
rnacentral:rRNA from 1 species